rnacentral:rRNA from 1 species
CACGUAGGCGGGUCGUUAAGUCAGGGGUGAAAUCCCGGAGCUCAACUCCGGAACUGCCUUUGAUACUGGCGAUCUAGAGGUCGAGAGAGGUGAGUGGAAUUCCGAGUGUAGAGGUGAAAUUCGUAGAUAUUCGGAAGAACACCAGUGGCGAAGGCGGCUCACUGGCUCGAUACUGACGCUGAGGUGCGAAAGCGUGGGGAGCAAACA